rnacentral:sRNA from 1 species
AGCAGACAACGCGGCUUUCUAGCUUUGGAAGUGUACAAGCGGUUGCUCUUCUGCGUAUAUGUGAUUGUUCUUCUGGUGCGCGCCCUUUUUUGUUCACCGAGCUACAGCGGCUGUUCUUGAUGCCACUUCUGCAGGCAUUGUCACCAUAAAAUGUCCAAGCCCAAGAGGCAGUGCAAAGAGAGAACAUGUUUUGUCCCGCUGUGCACGAGUGGCUACCGUUCGAACAAGCAGCAAGUGUCUCUGUUCACGGCAUUUGCCGACGCUACGCGGCUGGCGGAGUGGGAAAGGGCGAUAAAAAGAGAAGACAUGAGGUUGACAUUAGCAUCUGUCGUGUGUGAAAAACAUUUCGAGGAGAGCUGCAUUGAGCGCGCGUUCAAGGUGACGGUAAACGGCGUGGUGAAUGAGAUCGCUCGAGACAAACCACGUCUAAAGCCUGAUGCUGUGCCAACAUUGUUUGAGCAAUAUCCGAAGCAUCUAGUGCCCAAGAAAGCACCAAAGAGAAAGGUGAGGAACCUUUGCUUACAGGAGCCGCCUCCACAAAGACGCAGAGAAAAAUCCCAUCCGCUGGACGGCGGUGUGAUCGGCAACAUUGCAACGGAUGAAAUUGAAAGUUCCGUUUGUUCUGACGAUUCGGCCGCGUGUGCCAAACGCACCGAAAAGUUGGAUUCACAGGGAGAGCCGGCAUCACAGUCUCAAAGCGACAACCAGCCUGUACUACAGUCAUCAACCGAGAGUGGCCAUCCAUUUAGUGGUAUCUCGAUUCCUGCAACAUGGAUGGAAGUUCCAAGUGUAUCUAAUGACUGUUUGUCCUACGCAUCCUGCGAAGCCGGGGAAAAUAAUUUCGGAAACCUCUUCAUUGAAAGAAUGGUAAUUUUUGGCAAGGCCUUGCCUGAGCGGGGGUCCAUUUUAGCCACCGUGUAUCUAAGAGGAAGGGAGCAUAGCAAACAGGUGCUUGCAACCCGAAGUGAGGCAGAAUUGUUGGUGAAGAAGAUUUCCAUGAUGAUCCUUUGCUGUGGCUGUGGCAUGAAGCCAGUGUCAAACAAGUACUCCAUGUACAGAAAAAUGUUCUUUGCUGCUAGGUGCCUGUUAACAACUGAAACCGAAGGAGGUUCUUGCGCCCAGUGCAAAUAUCAACGAGUGCUUGCUCAGAACAAGAUGAGCAGGUUGAGAAAGCAGAAGGGGUCCACAUGUGAGAAAAGAAAACACCACAACACAUCCCGCACUCUCACAAGAACAAAAAAGAAAUUGGCUCGCGUGCAGGCACAAGUGGCUCAAAUGAAAGAGGAAAAUAAAACAAUAAGCGAAGAGGCUCUUGAAGCGAGGAUCCGGGCACUCCCUCAGAAACAGAAGCUUGCUGUCAAGAACUGCUUCACUGCUGCUCAACGGAAGUCGCUCAGAGGAAUGACUUACGAUGACGAAUGGAUUGUUGAGUGCAUAAUGAUGCGGAUGCGAAGUCCGAAACUUUAUGAGCACUUACGUAAAGAAAAAGUCAUGAUCCUCCCAGGCCGAACCUGCCUUAAGAAAUAUCUGCAGCGCUUUGAAGGCGGUUUUGGUUUAAACCCAAAGGUGUAUGCUGCUCUGGCUGAAAAAACGAAGGACAUGGAUGACUUCAGCUGCCAUGGUGGUCUCGUAAUCGACGAGUUGAAGUUAUCAGAGCACCUUGAUGUGAAAUCUAAUGGUGGCAUUGAGGGCUUCGUUGAUCUUGGCGAGCAAUCACCAAGUGACCAGAAAGGCAUUCUGGCAGACCACGGCAUGGUUGUACUUUUCCAGCCAUUCACCGGGAACUGGACACAGAUACUUGGUGUUUUUGCUGCGAGAGGCAAUGUGAAGGCACCAACUCUUGCUAAGAUCAUCAUAGAAACCACCAUCCUUGCAGAACAAGCUGGCUUGGUUGUUAACACCGUAACAUGUGAUGGUGCCAGCUGGAAUAGAAGCAUGUGGCGACACUUUGGUGUACAAGUCUCUGCAGAUGGCCGCAUCAAAAACAGCACACGGCAUCCUGUGGACCCAACGAGGCAGCUCUUCUUCAUUUCAGAUUUUCCUCAUUUAAUUAAGAAUGUUCGGAAUGGAUUUGUCGCAAAGGGCUAUUUGACACCAUCUGGUCAUGUCCACAGUGGCGUAGUACAGGCAGCCUGGGACGUGGACCGUGACAAUGUAACAUUGAAGGCCAUGCCUAGCAUUACGCUUGCACAUAUCAAGCCUAACUGCUUUGAAAAGAUGAAAGUAAAUCUCGCUUUCCAGCUUUUCGGGGAUGAAGUUAUUAAGGGGCUCUUUGAAUACAGGAAACACAUUUUAUCACGGUACAGAACAAUGGAGCCAACAGAGGAUUUCAUUCGGCAGAUGAACAAACUCAUUCGUAUUAUGACAGCAAGGAUGAGCGCCAGAGCAUUGAAGCCUGGCAGUCCAAACGCAACGUUUUUACAGAAAUUUUUAGUAUAUCUGAAUGAGUGGGAGGCCCGCGCGAAGCCAGCUGGAGGAGGUUUUUUGACAGGAAGUACAGCUUCUGGGCUCAGGGUCACAAUUAAAAGCACGCUUGACCUGCUAUCUUACCUGAACUCUGUUGCAGGAUUUACAUACCUUUUAACUGCUCGUUUGAGCCAGGACAAACUAGAAAAUCUCUUUGGGAUAAUCAGGCAAUCCGCAGGCUGUAACGACCACCCAACCGUGUCACAGUUCUUAGUAACUGUCAACGUCUUGUCCUUUUACAACCUUGCGAGGUCACCAAAGGGAGGCAAUUGCCCUCCUGCAGUCGUUAAAUCGCUCUUGAGUACUGCAGAUGUGCCCACUGUCACAGCGAAGUGUCUGUCGGACCAACUGGACCAUUUUCUGGACAAUGGAAACAUUGAUGAAGCAGAAGACGUUCUUCAGUCCAUUCACCCAGAAAAUGACCAUGAAGGGUAUUCUAACAAAAAAAGCAACGCGGCUUUGGUGUACUACGUUGCUGGCUAUGUGUCUAGAAAAACGGUAGCUAAGAAUGCAUGCACGAGUUGCGCAGCCGAGUUGUGCGUGUCUCAAAAAAGAAGCGAUGAAUGAUGUUAACUCUUAUUUCACGGCUCAUUUUGAUAACGGUGGGCUUAUUUAUCCCACUGAUAACCUGGCAAAGACAGUAGCAGCCAUGGAGGAUGCAUUCACUAGCUUCUUCAGCAAGAACAGUGUGCAUGAAAAGAGCAUGCAAGAGUUUGCACGGAGCCUGCAGUCCUCGAAAUUGCCUCAGAUAGGGUGCCCCGAGCAUGGAAAGAAAACCUUGGCAACUGUAGUGAAGUUCUAUAUUCUUUUAAGGUUUAGAUUUUUCUUAAGGGGGGACACUACCCGGAAAAAAAAAAGAUUCUUCAAAAAACAUUGAUUUUGAAAAAUUGCAUAUUUACAUCCAUCUACAUCCAGAGAGUAUUCCCAGAAAUUUUCACAAGUUAACACUGCAUUGUUAAUUUUUUAUAAAUUAUUUUCUGUCCACCAAAGCUAAAGGAAAGGUAGGGGUUGGAGCACUUUGAACACAUUUUUCUCCGUUCCACUUUUUUGUAUAAAUUUCAUUUUAGUCAAUCUAUCGUUUGAGAAUGGAAAUACAGGCAAGGCUCGUUCUUCACUUUUCCUGACAGAAAUUUAAUAAGGAAUGCGCCUAUGGAGUUUGUUUGUCACUUUACGGAUGUCUUUUAUAAAAAAAUGUUGACAUUUUGUCGGAGACACAGAAGACAAAAAAGUUAACCAAUUUUGCACAAGAGAAAAUUGAUAGAAAUCAAUUACUUUUUACAAAAACCUUUCCAUAGGCACACCUCCUAGGCAUUCUGCUACAUAUCUAGCGAAUAAAAAUCUUUAAUAUUGUGCUAUUUUUCUGAUGAUAGAUUAACUAAACAGUGUAGGGGUCCUGCUGAUAGAAGCUGCCCUAAUUUCCUUCCCACUUAACCGACAGACAUAAAAUUUUGUUAUGCACCCUCUAGCAUGACCACCAGCUUACCCUGUAAAUUUCAUUAUUUUUAAGCCAAGGGUUCAAAAGUUGACCCUCCCAGGGGGUGUCUCCCCUUAAAAGGUUUGAACAGACCGCGAAGGCCAAAGGCAGCGACUGAAAUAUCUUAAGUUGCGCCACUGCCAAUAGCUUUUCCUUGCUCAAAUUGAUGUUAGAAAUUUUGAAUGCAGGCUUUCAUAAUUUGUAUUUUGUUCCUAUUUUGUUGAUUCCAAUAAAUGUCUUACAUGCCUAAUAAAGUAAAACGUGAAACUAUUUCGAGUC